rnacentral:rRNA from 1 species
CCUACGGGUGGCAGCAGUGAGGAAUAUUGGUCAAUGGACGAGAGUCUGAACCAGCCAAGUAGCGUGAAGGAUGACUGCCCUAUGGGUUGUAAACUUCUUUUAUAUAGGAAUAAAACGAGGCACGUGUGCCUUUUUGUAUGUACUUUAUGCAUAAGGAUCGGCUAACUCCGUGCCAGCAGCCGCGGUAAUACGGAGGAUCCGAGCGUUAUCCGGAUUUAUUGGGUUUAAAGGGAGCGUAGGUGGAUUGUUAAGUCAGUUGUGAAAGUUUGCGGCUCAACCGUAAAAUUGCAGUUGAAACUGGCAGUCUUGAGUACAGUAGAGGUGGGCGGAAUUCGUGGUGUAGCGGUGAAAUGCUUAGAUAUCACGAAGAACUCCGAUUGCGAAGGCAGCUCACUGGACUGCAACUGACGCUGAGGUGCGAAAGCGUGGGUAGCAAACAGGAUUAGAUACCCGGGUAGUC